rnacentral:pre_miRNA from 1 species
AGAGGAAUAGCUGGGUCCAGAUUUCCAGAUUUCCAAGGAAUCUCCAUACUGCUUUCCAAAUUGGCUGCACCAAUUUGCAGUCCCACCAGCAAU